rnacentral:rRNA from 1 species
UGGGGAAUUUUGGACAAUGGGCGAAAGCCUGAUCCAGCAAUGCCGCGUGUGUGAAGAAGGCCUUCGGGUUGUAAAGCACUUUUGUCCGGAAAGAAAUCCUCUGGGUUAAUACCUCGGGGGGAUGAUGGUACCGGAAGAAUAAGCACCGGCUAACUACGUGCCAGCAGCCGCGGUAAUACGUAGGGUGCAAGCGUUAAUCGGAAUUACUGGGCGUAAAGCGUGCGCAGGCGGUUUUGUAAGACGGAUGUGAAAUCCCCGGGCUUAACCUGGGAACUGCAUUCGUGACUGCAAGGCUAGAGUAUGGCAGAGGGGGGUAGAAUUCCACGUGUAGCAGUGAAAUGCGUAGAGAUGUGGAGGAAUACCGAUGGCGAAGGCAGCCCCCUGGGCCAAAUACUGGCGCUCAUGCACGAAAGCGUGGGGAGCAAACAGGAUUCAGAUACCCUGGUAGUCCACGCCCUAAACGAUGUCAACUAGUUGUUGGGGAUUCAUUUCCUUAGUAACGUAGCUAACGCGUGAAGUUGACCGCCUGGGGAGUACGGUCGCAAGAUUAAAACUCAAAGGAAUUGACGGGG